UACGUAGGGAGCAAGCGUUGUCCGGAAUCAUUGGGCGUAAAGCGCGCGUAGGCGGCCUCAUAAGUCCGUUGUGAAAGUCAAAGGCUCAACCUUUGAAAGCCGAUGGAUACUGUGAGGCUAGAGUCCGGAAGAGGCGAGUGGAAUUCCUGGUGUAGCGGUGGAAUGCGCAGAUAUCAGGAGGAACACCAAUAGCGAAGGCAGCUCGCUGGGACGGUACUGACGCUAAGGCGCGAAAGCGUGGGGAGCGAGCAGG
rnacentral:rRNA from 1 species